rnacentral:rRNA from 1 species
AGACCUUUAGUUUGAACCCCGAAACCAGGUGAGCUACCCCCAGACAGCCUAUAUUGAUUUAGGGCUAACCCGUCUCUGUGGCAAAAGAGUGGGAAGAGCUCCGGGUAGAAGUGACAGACCUACCGAACCUGGUGAUAGCUGGUUGCCUGAGAAGUGGAUAGAAGUUCAGCCUCGCACACCCCAAGCCAGAGAAUACACCGCUAAGGCACUCAGGGAGAUGUGGGAGAGUUAGUUAAAGGGGGUACAGCCCCUUUAACUAAGGAUACAACCUUUGCAGGAGGAUAAAGAUCAUAAUAUAAAAAACAUGCUGCUCUAGUGGGCCUAAAGGCAGCCACCUAAACAGAAAGCGUUAAAGCUCAGGCAGAAAGAAGUUUAUUAUACCGAUAAAAAAUCUUACUCCCCUAAUUAUAUCAGGCCAACCCAUGCCAACAUGGAAGAGAUUAUGCUAAAAUGAGUAACAAGAAGACCUGCUCUUCUCCCAGCACAAGUGUAAGCCAGAUCGGACUAACCGCUGGAACUUAACGAACCCAACCCAAGAGGGUAGUGUGAAUAGUACAGACCCCAAGAAGAACUCACAACUAAACAAUCGUUAACCCCACACUGGAGUGCUAUUAUAAAGGAAAGACUAAAAGAGGGGGAAGGAACUCGGCAAACACAAGCCUCGCCUGUUUACCAAAAACAUCGCCUCCUGCAACUAUAUUGAGUAUAGGAGGUCCAGCCUGCCCAGUGACUACGGGUUCAACGGCCGCGGUAUUUUGACCGUGCAAAGGUAGCGCAAUCACUUGUCUCUUAAAUAGAGACCUGUAUGAAUGGCUAGACGAGGGCUUAACUGUCUCCCCCCUCCAGUCAGUGAAAUUGAUCUAUCCGUGCAGAAGCGGGUAUAAUUAUACAAGACGAGAAGACCCUUUGGAGCUUAAGGUACAAAAUCCAACCACGUUAAACGACCCCCUAAAGGGCAAGAACUUAGUGGCCAAUGAAGUUUUACCUUCGGUUGGGGCGACCACGGAGGAGAAAAAAGCCUCCGAGUGGACUGGGUUAAAACCCAAAGCUAAGAGAUACAUCUCUAAGCCGCAGAACAUCUGACCAAAAGUGAUCCGGCUAAAAAGCCGAUCAACGAACCAAGUUACCCUAGGGAUAACAGCGCAAUCCUCUCCCAGAGUCCAUAUCGACGAGGGGGUUUACGACCUCGAUGUUGGAUCAGGACAUCCUAAUGGUGCAGCCGCUAUUAAGGGU